rnacentral:rRNA from 1 species
AUCGUACGGAUUAUUGGGCGUAAGAGCUCGUAGGCGGUUUGUCGCGUCUGCCGUGAAAGUCCGAGGCUCAACCUCGGAUCUGCGGUGGGUACGGGCAGACUAGAGUGAUGUAGGGGAGACUGGAAUUCCUGGUGUAGCGGUGAAAUGCGCAGAUAUCAGGAGGAACACCGAUGGCGAAGGCAGGUCUCUGGGCAUUUACUGACGCUGAGGAGCGAAAGCAUGGGGAGCGAACAGGAUUAGAUACCCUGGUAGUCCAUGCCGUAAACGUUGGGCACUAGGUGUGGGGGACAUUCCACGUUUUCCGCGCCGUAGCUAACGCAUUAAGUGCCCCGCCUGGGGAGUACGGCCGCAAGGCUAAAACUCAAAGGAAUUGACGGGGGCCCGCACAAGCGGCGGAGCAUGCGGAUUAAUUCGAUGCAACGCGAAGAACCUUACCAAGGCUUGACAUGUGCCAGACCGCUCCAGAGAUGGGGUUUCCCUUCGGGGCUGGUUCACAGGUGGUGCAUGGUUGUCGUCAGCUCGUGUCGUGAGAUGUUGGGUUAAGUCCCGCAACGAGCGCAACCCUCGUUCCAUGUUGCCAGCACGUAGUGGUGGGGACUCAUGGGAGACUGCCGGGGUCAACUCGGAGGAAGGUGGGGAUGACGUCAAAUCAUCAUGCCCCUUAUGUCUUGGGCUUCACGCAUGCUACAAUGGCCGGUACAAUGGGUUGCGAUACUGUGAGGUGGGAGCUAAUCCCUAAAAGCCGGUCUCACUUCCGGAUUGG